GAUGAAGAACGCAGCGAAAUGCGAUAAGUAAUGUGAAUUGCAGAAUCCAGUGAAUCAUCGAAUCUUUGAACGCACCUUGCGCCCUUUGGCCAUUCCGAAGGGCAUGCCUGUUUGAGUAUCAUGAACACCUCAACUCUUCAUGGUUUUCCAUGAUGAGCUUGGACUUUGGGGGUCUUGCUGGCCUGUGGGUCGGCUCCUCUCAAAUGAAUCAGCUUGCCGGUUUUUGGUGGGCAUCACAGGUGUGAUAACUAUCUACGCUUGUGGUUUUCCACCAGGGUAACCUUCAGCAGUGGAGGUUCACUGGAGCUUACAAAUGUCUCUCCUCUGUGAGGACAGCCCUUUGAAUGUUUGAUCUCAAAUCAGGUAGGACUACCCGCUGAACUUAAGCAUAUCAAUAAGCGGAGGA
rnacentral:misc_RNA from 1 species